GAUGAACGCUGGCGGCGUGCCUAAUACAUGCAAGUCGAGCGAACAGACGAGGAGCUUGCUCCUCUGACGUUAGCGGCGGACGGGUGAGUAACACGUGGAUAACCUACCUAUAAGACUGGGAUAACUUCGGGAAACCGGAGCUAAUACCGGAUAAUAUAUUGAACCGCAUGGUUCAAUAGUGAAAGACGGUUUUGCUGUCACUUAUAGAUGGAUCCGCGCCGCAUUAGCUAGUUGGUAAGGUAACGGCUUACCAAGGCGACGAUGCGUAGCCGACCUGAGAGGGUGAUCGGCCACACUGGAACUGAGACACGGUCCAGACUCCUACGGGAGGCAGCAGUAGGGAAUCUUCCGCAAUGGGCGAAAGCCUGACGGAGCAACGCCGCGUGAGUGACGAAGGUCUUCGGAUCGUAAAACUCUGUUAUUAGGGAAGAACAAAUGUGUAAGUAACUAUGCACGUCUUGACGGUACCUAAUCAGAAAGCCACGGCUAACUACGUG
rnacentral:rRNA from 1 species